ACCCAAGAUAGCUGACUCCACAGGUAAAGGAUGGACCAUAAGAUCUGGCUAACACAGGAUGGGCAGAGCUCGAGAGACUAGAAGUUGUAAGGAAGGAGCCGCACGUGAGCACUGUGCAAUCAACGCCAGGUAACCUGCGGGGCCCUGUAAUUGCUCUGGAGUUGCCUGGGACUUUGCGAUUCUCGGGACACCCUUCAGGAACUUAGACCUUUCUUUCAGUCUUUCUCCUGUCUGCCUCUCUCUGGGCCUCUCUAGCACACCUGUGCAGGGUAGUUCUUAGGUGUCAUAAAGAUGGGGCUCCCAGGAUGAGCUACCACUGUGGGCAAUUGCUUCUUUCCAUGGACUUGUCUCCUCUUGCCUGGAUUCAGCAGCCUAUCAGGCUGAGUCACAGACAGGGCUGCUGAAGGAACAAAUUGUACUGGCCUUUCCCCAGCAAGACUGCCUCACCCUGAAUUUCAGUAGGUCUUUUAACCCCUCCCAGAAUCUGUAGCCUUCCUGCCCAUUUUCCUGUUGACAAAUUCUGACUACCUGGCAUCCCGAUGCAGAAGGAACAUUCUAGGCCCUGAAGACCUGGGUUUUGUUUUGCCUUUUCACAAGCAAUCCUUAAUACCUCAAUUUUAGAAGUGUACUGUUUUCCUGCUGGAGGGAAGCCGAGUAUUAAAACUCAUUUUAGGUGGUAGGUAUUUUAAAUAAUUGCCUAAAUUGGUGAUGUAGCUCAGAUAGUAGAGUGCUUGCCUGGCAUUCAGGAGCCCCUGGUUCAGUUUCCAUCUUCUGGGAGAUGGAGGCAGAAAGAUCAGCAGUUCAGGAUCACCCAUGCGUGGAGUACAUCUCUUAACUACUCAAGUGUCCCUGCUGGAAGUACUUUGCCUCAAUGUUGACAAAGCACACUUGUGCUUGGAAACACAGUGAUUUACCUUCCAGCUUAGAGGAGAGUAUGACACACACUGCAUUUAUGCCCAGACCCAACACUGGAUGUAUGUUUGAAUUAUCUGUAAGCUUUUAAACACAAUUCUCAAGUCUGAGCCUUACACAUACAGACCAACUUGUUCGGGGUGGAGGAGGACCCCAACAGCCCAACUGUCAGGGAGACUACUGUGAUCAGUGCUGUGUAGGAGGAGCUGGGAGGAAGGAUGUCACAUUCAAUUCAGAGUCCAUUAGGAUCCAGACGCUCCCCUGCAAUGACUUCCUAAUCCAGACAGCGCAUGCAAGGCUGGGGAGGAGACCCUUCCAUGUCAUUCAGCCGAGAGGGCCACAGACUCAUAGACAAGAGGAGGGCUUCACCCAGGCCGGACACAGACAGAGAACCGUACUCAUGUCUACCUGGCACCCAAAUUAGCGGCAUUAAGAGUUUGGCUUUGCAGAUGGAGAAAACUGAACUCAAGACUUGUUUGCUGGACAGUCCUGAGUGAAUCAUCUCUUCUCUUCCUCAGUGUGACAGAAUGAGAGUUUCUCGUCCGGCUGGUGUGGAGAUGAUUCCCAGCAUCAAACUCUAGAGUGGCCUUCUUUCCAACUCAGCCUCCAGCCAACCCACUUCUCAAUUCUUCAGUGUGGAGCCACGUUGACUCCAGAAUCCUGUCAGAUUUGGGGACUCUUCUGUUAAUAAUGACCUUUUUGGAUUUAUGCCCAGGACUUAGAGAUAUUAUCUUCGGAUCCAGGAAAACUUGCAGGACUUGUGAACGACAGCGGAAGCUGCAAAGUGUGGUGGAGAUCUCUGUCCUGCUGUUUAAGAAGUGGGCCUCCGAGGGUCUGAGCCUAGCCACCUAGAGGAGAGUGGUCUGGCCAUCAUAGAGUUCCUCAUGCCACAUCUCAUGCUGGGUUAACCUUCAGCGCAUCCUCCAGCAUGCAAGUUGCCUUGCUUUGCAUCCAUUGAACACUCGGAUGGGAUGGGUCUCCUGGGACACACAGUUGACUUUCUGCAGAGCACUUACCUUCUCGUACAUAAAUAUCGGGCAGUGGAAUCGGAGCAUGUGUCCCCUGACUGGAAGCAGUGACAACCACGGCAGCAGGUUUAUUUUUAAAUAAAGAUUGGAAAGUUACAAGGCGAUGAAAUAUGACCAACUAGUUACUUCAAGGUCCUCAUACC
rnacentral:lncRNA from 1 species